rnacentral:lncRNA from 1 species
CUCGAUGAUUCUUAGCGAUGUAGGUGGUGCGUUAGCUGCUGUUCGCUGUUUGCAUGGACUUCAGCCAGGUGUUUUUAUUUGUAGUACACCUGUACAGCUACGUGCAUGAUAUGCAAGGUUUAUGAACUACGUGUCGUGUUCUCUUUUCACGCCACAUUAUUCUAUCGUUUGUUUUUCUUGCGGCCAUUCUAUACAAAGCUUGCUAUGGAUUCUUUAGUCCACGCCCGCGUUCGUUAGUAGCUGCAAGAGUUAGUCCUUCAUUCUUGUGCUCUUGUACUUUUUACGCAUGUUUUCUUUCAGUUUGAGUUAGCUAAUGCCGUAGUUUAUUGUUUGUUAACUGCGAAAAUUAUGAAGAGGCCGUUACUGUUAUCUCUAACAUUUCAUCUCCAGGAAUCAUUGAUGCGCGUCACUAAAAACGCAUACAAGUUUUCUAAGCCCCAAAUUAGCUGCUAACUAUCGGACAGAGCUUGCGCUGAGAAAUGAGAUUGCUACAAUCGAAUUAUCCAUUGAUCCGUCACACACAAACCAUGGCUCUUUAAAGGUCAUCACCCAAUUCAUUCUCCACAAAGCUUUCUGAUCACAAAUCCUCCUAUUCUUCCAUUCCUAAUUGGUAUGUUUUCUUUUGAUUAUUCUUGUAUUAUAUAAGUUUUUGACAAAUUUUGAAGUAGAUUAGUCAUGUUGUAAUUCUUCCUUUUUCUGUAGCAACUUUAUUUUGCUUUUUCUGAUUUGCUUUUUCUGAUUAUUUGCAUUUUUAGCACUUGUUUUCUUUCUUCUGAAUGUGUUUCCUGAAAGCAUGUUGCGGUCAAAACCUUCUUCACAAACAAGCUCUUCCCAUAAUUUUUUGUCUGUCAUGUGAGGGUGAUGAAUCCAUAAAGCUAUCUAUGGGGAGGUCUUUCAAUUUCUUCAAACUUUGGCCACCUUUUUUUAAUCAUUUUCGUCAAAUAUUUCAAAUAGUUGAAUUAUUGAAUGGAAAUUAAAGUAUAAUAGGAAGGAACAUCUAUCAAAUUUUGACUUGCAGCCGCUGCAUAUUAUGUAAGUAAAAUUUCAUUUUCUUUGUUGAUGACCUGUAUUUGCUUAUAUAAUUGAACAAGGUAAACUUUCUUAUUGAAGUUAUUAAGCUUUUGUAGGACUGAGACUACAAAACUCAAAUGUUUGUUUGCCACUUACCGUUUUCCUUUGCUUCGCUAAUCUUUUUGAUAGUGAAGGGCAUCAUUCCUUCUCUUCUCCUUGCUGUACUUCGAUAGAGACGGUAAUUGAAAAUAAGAAGUUACCAGUCUGUCUUUGGUCCUUGCUGCUGAGCUCAAGUUCCUCUAUUUUAUAUUGUCUACUAAUUUAUAUUGUCAGGUAAGAAGUUUUCUUUCCCGUUGGUGUUCUUUUUUGACAGUUUGAUGAUUAGCCAUGCUAUUGGUUAUUAUCAACUGUCAUGCCAAUUGAUUGAAUUUGGAGGCCUAAUGUUUUUUUACCUAACCUUUAUUUACUCAUUGUUGCAUCUUUGUUUUCUUGUUCUACUAGAUUUCUUAACACCAUACAUGUUGAUAAUUAUCUCUUUAUUGCAAGUGGUAAUAGUUUGAGCAUUGCAUGGUUUUCACCUAAACUUUUUGCUUAGUUGUGGCCAAUUCCCUGGACUUAUGCUGUUAGCCUUAGAAAUCUAACUUUCUAACACAAUCGCUUAUCAAAUUGCACACAAAAACCUGACACAGUUCAUCACAUUUUGACAACGCAAAUAUGUGACACCAAACUACCCGCUAGAAAUGUAGAAAUCCAAAAACUCCGAUUUACCGCUCAAAUCCGAAUUGAAUCCAGAAUUUUCAAUUGAAUAGUUCAAUAAUUCAGAAUGGAAAUCGAAAGAUCCAAUUUCGAAUUAAUCGAAUUCAAGUCAAAUUCAGUAAUGAGAUCUUUCAAAUAAAAAAUUAGACCCGCAUUUUCAUCCCAUCUUCGGCAAUCCACAAGUAAUCAGGAACUCGGGCAAGAUGACAUUUGAAAAAGGUUGAGUUUGGAUUUGGAUCUUCUGCCCAACAGGCCAUCAUGUGGAGUACCUGUUUAAAUAAGCUUGCAAAGAUUAGACAAUUUAUCUUAUGGUGUAUAUGAUACCUUUUUUUAAACGGAAUUUAUCUAUGAAAAUUGUCGAAUCAAUAUGUUGUCUUGAUUGUUGACAGAAUGACAAGCCAUAUUGGAACAUAAAUUUCAAAUCAAGGAGAAUGAAGUCUUUUGCACAUCAGAUCCAUCUGUUAGGUGGCUGUAAAGUGUUUAGUUCGACUCUUAAACCCUUCUCAUUUCUCCUUCCUCUUGUAUGCCUUGGAGUCUCCUUUGAACUAUAAAAACUGAAAAAAUAAUAGUAAUAAGAAAAAUUUUCGAGUUCAAAUGCAUCAGUUGGCGUUAUUGGUAAAGAAUUUCUGCGAUAAAAACGUGAAAUCUGAACCAUAUAUUACCAUCUUUUCAUAUUGUCUAUCAUGUCUAAAACUCAAUGUGCAAUAAAAGUUUUAUCAGAACGAAAACGAUAAUUAAUAGUCGUUAGCUAUUGGAAAAUGUAAAUGAAGCACAUCGAUUCUAAUGGUGAGAUAAGGGCCAAGGUUUCUGGAUUUACCUUCUGUACACAUGCUAUGUUAACAUAUCGACUGUUUUCAUCUUCAUAAUGAAUGUGUGCCAUUAGUUUUCGCAAAGCAUUUUCUCUUAGCUUGGAGAAGGGCCAGAGCUUUAAAACUGGCUCUCCAACGUGAUGGAGGAUGUCCCAAACUGUAUCUUGCAUAAAAGGUUGAGGGCUGGUGAGAUCGUCCUGCAUUUGAGAAUUGUUACAUUUCAUGUCUUGUUCAUGCAUGCAAAAUAAUUAAUUCAGAAGGACAACUUAAUAAGGAGCUUGAGGAAACUUAGAAGGCACCUAAAUGCCCAAAUUGAAUCUCGAACGAUGGAAUGAACGUUCUAGUGUGGAAUUUCUUGCUUGCUAGCUAGUAUUGAAGCAAGCAAAGAAUGGAAUUGUGAAUGGAGAAUGGAGAACGGAAUUGGCCUACCGGAAGACGUUUUAAUGCUAAGGAGCAAGAGCUUAAAUGCAGUGUUCCUACUUUACUGCAAUCUUAUAUGCAGGAUUGUGUUUGAUGGGCAGCAGCUGCUAAUGGAGUAUUUUCUGUUAAGUCUGCUAUGGAAAAACUGUUCCGCGCAGGAGCGCAGGUAUCUUGGUUCAAGCUUCUCUGGGGGAAUUGUAAUAUACUAAAGUUAGAUUUGUGCUGACUGCUGAGGUUAGCACUACAACACAAACUGUUGACCAAUGACAGACUUGCUAGAUAGAGAGUAGCUAAUUUCUCUGUAGUUUGUGUUCUGUGCAAUCAAGAAAAUGAAACGAUUUAGCAUCUAUUCUUCCAAUGCACUUUUUCUGAGUGUGCAUGGGAGAAAUUACAGAGACUUUGUGAAGUUAUUUUGCACAAAUCAACAACAGCAUAUUUCUUUUGCCCAGAGAAAAAGGGGGCCCGGGGUGUGGGGUUGUUGGUGGGGGGGGGGGGUGGUGUGGGUGGGUUAUUCAUUGUCGCAACUUAAUUACCUUUAGGCACGAAUGUCGUGUUGCAUUCCAAUUGAUUGUAUCAUAAGGUUCAUUGUAGAGCUCAUUUCUCAGUGACAGUAUCAGAUCGGUGAUUGGCCCAACAUAUUUCCUCCCAUACAAAUAUGCAAGGGGCAUAUAUGUUUCCCGUAAAUAGCACCACAAAUUUCCUAUAUUGAAAGAAGAAAGGUAAUAGGGCGUCAAUUGUAGUACAUUUAUAUGCAUAAGUUGCUAAUCAAUUAUAUUAUUUGAUAUUUAUCUUAAGUGGAACUACUUAAUUUUACUCUUAUAUUAUUCUAAUAGGUGAAAAACCCAAUUAGAGGGAAAAUGGACUAAAAAAGUGGGUGAAGAAGCAAUAAAAGAGGAAAAAGUCAAGAGAAAUAGGUUUGAUAGGAUUGACAUGUUUCAAUAUUUUGGUGAUAAUUUGAGCUACACAAAACAGAUUGAGAUGAUUCUUGAUUCGAUUUGCAAUUAUGAAGACAUCAAAGUUUGGUUCUUACGUUUUCAUGGUCAAAAAUCUAAAUUACUAAAGUAUAGUUGCGCUGCAAUUCUCUUACAACCACGUCUCAGUAUUUUAGGCAUAUUUCAAUGUUCAAACCUUCAAAUGACUUGGUUCUUAUAGAGUUGGAAAGGUUAUUCAAAGAGCUACAACUUUUAUGUUUUGAGUAAGAACUGAUUCGACAUAUUUGGUGGAGUUUUGGGCUUCAAAAUUGAUCCACGUGUAGAUCCCUAUUGAUCCGCAGACGGAUCCAAGACCGACGCCAGACAUUGGGCUGGUCUUAAUCAGAAAAAUGUGCAAAAAUGUGAUUUUUCAAAUUCAAUAAAGCCUAUUCCUAUCUUGUUUGGAAUACAUGUUCAAGAAGCUAUAAAUAGGGAUUCUUUAGGUCAUUUUAGGGUGGAAAACAUUAAUCUAAACUAGUUUUAACAUCUUUUCAUAGUUUAAUCUUGAGAGAUCGAGAUCAAAUAGAGGUGAAUCAAGGAACGCACAAGGAGAAGAUUGAAACAAGCAGCUAAGAAGUUUUCUUACUCUUUUUCUUAUCUUUGUAGUAACUCUUUGAAUUCGUGGUCUUAAUUUUCUAAUCAUGUUGAACUAAAUUGUUGCUAGACUUAGGGUUUUUAUAAAGGAAUUUGAUUAAUUUUUCUAAUUUAACUUUUUGCCUUUUGCUAUAAUUUAUCUAUAUCAAUUUUAAUUACGUGUUUAUGUUUGGCCACCAUAGACAUACUCUUAGGGUUUGUAUUAAAUUAAGAAGAGAUAUAAAACAAUGUACUAGAUAGAUAAACAUACUUAACCUAAUCACAAGAGUAUGUUAGAAUUCGUCGAUCAAGUUUUUGGCGCCAUUGCUGAGGACGACACUAAGUUUUUCUUCACUUUUAUUUUUAUUUUUAUUUUUCUUGCUCAGGUACCUUAGUUUAUGAUGGCUUUGGACAUUCCUACCAAUCAGAAUCCACCACCAGCUCCACCUGCUAGACUUCAUCUGAGGGACAUCUAACGUUCUGUGAUAACAGCUUCCUCCACAUUAUAUCCGGCUAAAUGAUAAGGUUAGGAAUUACAAGUCCAAGACAUUGCAUUUUAAUAUGCUUCUUGCUUUUCGUGGUUUAACUAAUGAAGAACUGCUAUCUUUUAUCCGAAAAUUUUAUUCGGUGGUGUAGACUUUUCCAUUGAGUAGGAUAUUAAAAGAUGAUCUGUAGAUGAGGUGUUUUCCCUACUGACUCAAGGACCGUGCUAAAUUUUGGCUGCUAAACUUACUUGCGGGAUCCUUAAGAACGUGGGAAGAUAUUUACAAUAUCUUUAUGACCAAGCACUACUCUCCACAAAAAACUAUUGAUCUAAGGAACAAGAUUUGCUACUUUGCUCAAAUGGAAGGAGAGUCCAUUCACAAAGUUUGGGAACGAUUUAAGUUACUAACUAGUCAAUGUCUUCAUCACCAGUAUCCAUUGGCUCUACAAUGUAGUUUUUCUAUGAUGGAUUUCACGACUCAAAAUAUGAUAGAUUUUGCAGCAGGAGGGUAUAUUAGUGAUAAAAUUUCGGAAGAAUUGGUUGCAAUGUACGAGUUACUUGCUAAUAACUCUCAACAAAAAGCAAAUUGAGGUAAAAGAAUAAGUGUACAUAAAGUGUCUACUUCUAAGGAUUUUGGUUCACAAGUGGCCAAAUUCAGUCGUCAGAUGCAUCGGAUCCAAUUAUUGCUAAAAGACGAAACUCAGUUUUCAUGGCUAUGUUCUCAAAUGAAUGAUCUCUUUUCUAAUACGUAUAAUGAGGGGUGGAGAAAUCUCCCUAAUUUAUCAUGAAGAAAUUAAGGGGUCACCCCUAUUGGACAAUCUGGGUUCCCAGAUCAGCCACAAGGAUCUCAAUAUCUACCUCCACCUACUCAAGAAAAGAAGCCAAGUGUUGAAAACAUGAUGUUGCAAUAUAUGCAGAAACUGGAGCAAAUAGCUCAAUUUCAACAAGCUUCUAUUCAAAGUUUGGAGAGACAAGUAGGCCAACUGGCGAAGGCAAUAAUUGAAAGGAGGCAAGAUAAACUGCCUAGCACCACUGAAGUGAAUCCUAAAAAAGCUACAAUGGCAAUAACAAAGUGUUGGAUGAUCCAGGAGUUAAAGUAAAGCCAGUACUUGAGAAGAAAAAUAAGGUUAAAGUGGAUGAUGAAAGUAAAAAAAUUGAGGAUGAGCAUGAUGGUUUGGGCAAACAUGGUCAUGAAGAUAAUCAAUGUAUAAAAUUGCUUGAAGUUAAAGCUUAUGUGCCGCAUAUUCCUUUCCUGCAAAGGGUUAAGAAAAGGCAACUGAUACGCUAUAUCAGAAGUUCGUGGAUAUGUUUAGGAAGUUAUAAGUCAUUGUGCCUUUUCCGAAAUUUUGGCAAAUAUCCCUACUUAUGCAAAGUUCUUAAAGAAGAUAGUGUCUAAUAAAAAGAAGUUAAAGGACUUUACAGAGGUGUCUCUUACUAAGGAAUAUGGUGCAGUGCUUCAAAAUUGUCUCCAAUUAAGAUGAAAGAUCCAGGGAGUUUUACCAGUGCCUUGUCAAUUUGAACAUAUUCUUGUUGAGAAGUGUUUAUGUGAUCUUGGAUCUAGUGUUAAUUUGAUACCCUUAUCAUUUUUCAAGAAAUUGAAAUUUGCCAACCUACUGCCUACUCAAGUGAUUCUACAAUUGGCUAAGCAUUCAGUUUGAUAUCUAAUAGGCAUUGUAGAGAAUUUAUUGGUUAAAAUUGGUAAAUUUUAUUUUUCUACUGAUUUUCUUGUUCUUGAUAUGGAGGAAGAUAUUUCUGUACCUUUUAUCUUUGGUAGAAGAUUCUUAGCUAUAGGAGGUGCUAAUAUAGAUUUAUUUGAAAGAAAAUUAACUUUAAGGGUUGGUAAAGAGAAAGAAAAAUUUAAUGUUUUUGAACCCUUUAAAUACCCUUUGUAUGAGGAGUCUUGUUCUUUUAUUGCUGCUACUGAUAAGUUGUAUGAUAAAAAAUAUGUUUUAGAACAGGACAUAGGAUUAAUGCCUUUGCAUGAUCAUCACUCAUAUUCUUCGUUCGCGGUCUGGAAACGCAAUGCUGAUGCGAACAGUUAUGCAAUACUGCAGGCACAUAAAUUAAAGGAUAUGCAAAAGUCUGAACGAUUUCAUCCUCCAUGACCUUAUCUAUCCUUGUUCGGUUGAAGACAUAAAAUUUAGUGCUUAUCGGGAGGCAACCCGACUUUCUUUUUAAUUUAUUUAAUAUUUUCCUUUUGUUUGGGAUUAAUGGCAGUGUAUAUUUCCUUACAAUUUUAUUGUUUUCUAGUUUGGGUUUUAGUGGUGUAUUUAACUCCUAUUUGUAGUAUUUUCUAGUCUUUUUAUAGUUUGGUAGGAUGGCUUCUUGAACUUGACUAUUGGAUAGUAACUAGCAACUUCUCUCACCCCACUUGACUUUUAGCACAAGGGAGUUUCAUUUUCAA